rnacentral:rRNA from 1 species
GAUGAACGCUGGCGGCGUGCCUAAUACAUGCGAGUCGAGCGAACAGAUGAGGAGCUUGCUCCUCUGACGUUAGCGGCGGACGGGUGAGUAACACGUGGAUAACCUACCUAUAAGACUGGGAUAACUUCGGGAAACCGGAGCUAAUACCGGAUAAUAUAUUGAACCGCAUGGUUCAAUAGUGAAAGACGGUUUUGCUGUCACUUAUAGAUGGAUCCGCGCCGCAUUAGCUAGUUGGUAAGGUAACGGCUUACCAAGGCAACGAUGCGUAGCCGACCUGAGAGGGCGAUCGGCCACACUGGAACUGAGACACGGUCCAGACUCCUACGGGAGGCAGCAGUAGGGCAUCUUCCGCAAUGGGCGAAAGCCUGACGGAGCAACGCCGCGUGAGUGAUGAAGGUCUUCGGAUCGUAAAACUCUGUUAUUAGGGAAGAACAAAUGUGUAAGUAACUAUGCACGUCUUGACGGUACCUAAUCAGAAAGCCACGGCUAACUACGUG